GUAUAUAUAUUCAUCUACUCUUUACACCUCGAAAAUAACAAGACUAUAACUAUAUUUUCACCCACGUAGAAGAAGGUUGACAAUGAAAUUAAAGGGAUGGAAAUAAAUUCUACUGGUCCAUAAUGUGGCACAAAAAAUUAGAUGCUCCCUUCAAAAAGUUUGCUUCCUUGCGGGAUGAGUGGGCCCUAACGAAUUGCUACAUCAGUCAAGGUCCGAUUCAAUUUACAGGCCCAGGAUCUGAUGCAAUUAGUCACACUCUACUCUUGGAGCUUGGUGUGCA